CGAUCCUGAUAUCUUUUAAUGUUAUUAAAUAAUAUAUUGGUAAUAUAAUAAGAACUUCGUCAAUACAUUGACACAAUACCAUAAUCUCCUGAUUAUGACCUUGAUCCAGGGGCGCCGGAAGCAAUGUGAAGCGGCGGGGCAGCCAUUUCAAAAGGGCACUUGCUUCUAAGCAAUCAUUUUUCUGGGCGGCAAUAUUUGUUAAAACUUUAUUGUAUGGAUACUCGAUUACUUGUGGCUAUUGUGGGUCGGCAAACUUCGACAUUAAUUUUGAACAAUUUUAUUCGUUGCACCAUGUUAAGGGCGCUGAUAAAAUCAGUAAACAGACGUAUAUUGCCUGGUUUAGCAUUAAUCAGGGGCCGCGGAACCGGGGACAAUGGGGCAUGUGCCUCACCACAUUUUAAAAAUGAAAAAAUGCCUUUUUGGGGGGGCUAGAAAGGAAAUGCCCUUUUCGUAGUAGUAAAAACUCUGUAAAGGCCAUUUCCGACUUUAUAGGAACUCCAUAUUUUCAAAAAUCGUUUGAUUUUGAUCACAAUUAUACAAAAGUAAUUCCGCGGCCUCACGCAUUAAUUUUACUACAACUGGUUAAAAUUAAGCAAAGAUUGCUUAAAAUAGUUAUAAAUUCCAAUUCAUGUUAAUAACGCACAAAUUUCGAAGCGCAGUUCUGGUGAAAAAGGGCAAGCUGUUGCCCCCCUGUCCGCCCCCGCACUGUUUCGGCAACGGGGGCAGUUGCCCUCGUGGCUCCGGCGCCCCUGCCUUGAUCUGCCGCUAAGUUCACUCCAAUAAUCGGUGAAUUAUUCAUACUUUAACACUUACAUACUAUCUAUAAGUGGCUCUGGUCCACAAAACACACUGUUUUCCUCGGCCUCGAUCUCAGUAAAUAUAAAGUGAUAAUACAUAAGUUUAAUGUUUAGUUACUUUUGUUCUAUUCAGUCUAUGCUUCUGUAAACUAGAACAAUAGUAACUAGGCAUGUAAGUUAUCCAAAGCUGUGAAUUGGGUGGCAACGAUGUAAACAGCGUUAGCCAAAUUUGUCUAUUGGCUUCACUUUUUAUAGAGUCUAUCCACUAAUCUCAUAUUGACAGGAUAGACCCAAUUGAAAAAUGAAACUGAACUAAUAACAGACUGGAUAGUCAUGUUUGUCAGCUAUUCCUGGGUAGGUAAAAGUGCCCUGCUCUGGCAAGUAUAAGUUCACUCUCGUUGAUGGUAAGCCUCGUGAGGUGACAACUGCUGGGGUGAGUACAAAUGUCUGCAUUACACUCCCCCAAUUUGUGCAACUUUCUGUAUUCCCCGGCUUUCUCCACAUGCAAAAUUCCCCAGGCCAGCAAAAGAAAAGUUCUUUUCCAUGACUCAAGCAUGCACAAAGUAAAAAUAAGAGCUGCUAUCAAAAAUAACUGGCAAGCUAGUGUUGCAGUUCAGCAUGAGCUCCACCUUUGAAUUUACUAUAUGAGUAAAUUCUUAAACACGUCCGAAAUUAUCAUUAUGAUAAAUUCGCAGCACAUUUUGAAUUUAUGAUAAUAAUAAAUUCGCGGCACUAACCCCUAACCACUAAUCCCCUAACUCCUAACCAGUAAUCUCUAAC
rnacentral:lncRNA from 1 species